UUAGGCAUGGGCCAAAUUUCAUCAUCCUUUUCCACCAGAGGCAGAGUAGAUAGGGGAACAACAUGACUGCCUAGCUUAGGUUUUAAGGAAGAUACCGGAUGAGUUUUGGAGUGAAAUGGCAAGAACAGCUUAUAAGCCACUUCUCCUUCCAGUUGCUAGUGAUUUUUGCUUAUAGGGCACUAAUCUAAGGAACACCCAAUCACCAGCAACACACUCUAUGCUGCUAUAAUAUUAUGCUUAAGAUAUUCUGAGUGGCCGCCAAUUUAAUAAGUGCAAAAUCAAUUCGAAGAACUGAGCUUGUAAAGUGAAGAUUAUUUUCUUGGUUUUGUGGCCAUAUAAGGUACAAAAUCAAUUCGAAGAACUGUGCUUGUAAAGUGAAGGUUAUUUUCUU